rnacentral:precursor_RNA from 8 species
GCGGCGGUGGCGAAGGGAGGCCCGUUUCUCUCUUUGGUUAUCUAGCUGUAUGAGUGCCACAGAGCCGUCAUAAAGCUAGAUAACCGAAAGUAGAAAUGACUCUCACAACUUCUGCGUGCGAG